ACUGAAUGUGGGGUGGAGCUCAUUAACAGAAAGUGCAGAUAAAACAUUUAAGUGCCUGAACUCAGCAUAGAUACAACAGGAUGUUUUACAAAUAGUACUUCUAAUCUUGCGUUAAAGUCGUAAACUGGUUCAUUCUUUUUCUGUUUAAAAGAUUGAAUACCAGCCUAGUCAGGUUAUAUUUUGAAGGAAAUAUUUUGGCAAGGGAUAGAUUUCUAAGCUAUGGCUUGCUAUUUUCCUAGUUUUUUUUUUUUUUUUUCAGUCCAUUACUGAAAGACUCAGUAUUUGAAUUUUUGAUAUCUUUCUCAGGUAUCUUCCACGUGGCUUCAGCCAUCCAUUCAUGGCCUUCACCAAGUUCCAGUAUCAUGAAUAAAUUUGGAAAGAUCAAGGUGUCCUGGGUUAUGUGCUUCCAUGAAAAGUCUAAAUCCAUUGACAAGUUUCUGGGGGUUUUCUCCUGGGACAGACAAAACUUUCACUAUUGCUUUGAGCUCUAAGUUUUGUUCAUGGAAUAAAGGUGGUUAAAGGAGCAGAACCUGUUGAUGUCAGGGACUAACUUUAUAAGGGGUUUAUCUAGUUUUCUAGACUUGGAAGAUAACUGGAGUUACCUUGGAGUGGGAAGAUAACUGAAAAAUUAAAAUGAAAUCCUAAGCUCUUCAAACUGACUGAAUGCUCCCCUUUUGGUCAAGAAGACCCCUAAGAAGCCUUGUAAACUGAGUUGCUGUCCAUGACAGGAUACAAGAUGGGACACAUCUCAUUAUACCUACAUCCUUGUUAACUGCCGUUAUUAGGCUUUCUUCUCUAAGAGCUAAACAGAAACUAGCCCUUUAGAAAGACUCUCUCAACCAGCUACUGGAAGUUGACCCUCCCUUUUGCAAUUUGGAAUAAGCAACCGACCGGUAUUCCCUCCAGGCUACACAGGAUGUUGCAGUGAGUUUUCAUGGCCUCUGCUUCACCUUUUGAUGUCAGAAGGCCGAAAACUUCACUGUUGAACCUGGGUCCCAUGGAGAGUUAUGAAGUUUAAUUGUAUAUGCAUGCGUCUCCUUUCACAAUUAUUUAUGAUUCCUUCAUAGCUUUUUGAAUAUGUAUAUUUUGCCACUCCUUUCUGCAUAAAUCCUGGUAUUUUUCUUACAGUCCUCCAAGUGUCCGUUUCUAGUUUCUGGCUGGAGACUAUGCCUCCCAGCUUGUCAGAAUGGCCACCCUGCAGGCUUCCACCCUUUAUGAGAAAUAAAGCUCUUCUUUCCAGGUUUAUAAACCUUGUCAUUCUUCAGCUGACAUAACUUAGUGAAAAGGCUAGCAGAUUCAGAGUAAUUAGACGGAGGAGGAUAGAGGGAAAGAAAGAAGGUGCAGUUGGAAUUAAGUUAGUCAACAUAUAAUUUUUUCUCACUAGUUACUUAAGAUUUUCAUUUGCCUUUUCUGAGGAGUCUUUUGGAGAUGAAAUUUUGACUCAUUUAGUCUUUUAGCAGCCUCUGCAUGCCAAUAAAAAAUACAUCCCGUUGUUUUUGAGGCUCUCAAAAUCCCUUUUUCUUUUCAAUAUGCCCCAUAGAUGAGCAAUUUUUGUUUAGGUUAAAAUCUCCCCAUUGCAGCCACCAAAAUUCUAAAUUAUUUGUGGUAUGGUUUAUGCAUUUCUUUAGAAAAGGAUAGGUUCUGAGAUGUAGAAGUCCCAGACGUCUUGGAUUCAGAUGAACUCAUUACUCCCUUUCUUUUUGUAACUUUACCUAGAGUGGACCUUCCUACUGAACCCAGUCCAGUUUUUGUCUGACCCAUGCUAAUACCUGAGACCUCUCUGUUGGAACCAAUCUAGUUUCUGCCAUGACUUCUGAACCCAGUUGAGAUAAAAAUGCUCAAAUAAACUCAGAGAACUCAACAUACAUUAUGGAGCUCUUAUUUAAGAGGGACCUAUUAAUGGUGACCUCCCAAUGUUCAGUGCAAGAGGCUCAGAGGGGUACCUACACCUAUUUUCUCAUUGCUCCUAGUCAUCACUGAAGGUCUACUUCAGAUGAUCACCUCUCCCAUCAUAACUGUCAAAAGAAAAGCUUUAGAUAUAAUAAAUUGUCAGAGUUUAUUUGAGAGAAAAAAAAAAGAGUGUUAUGAAUUGGGCAGGACUCAGAAACAGAAGAGGUUCUGAGAGUUCUGCUGCAGCACAUGGGUAGCUAGCUUUCAUAGGCUGAUGUGGAAGGAAGACAAAGAAAAUAUAUCUGAUUUGUUACAGUGGAAAUUCCCAGUUAGAGGUUAGUUGAUGUGAAAGGUGGGUAGAUGGUUUCUGAUUGGUAAAAUGUCUAAAUCUGUUUUAUGAUUUACAUUGAGCUUUAGUUUGCUUAUGAAGAAACUACAGCGCUACAGAUGUCCCAGUCCAAUGGCCCCCCAGUUAAAAUUUGAUUUAAUGAAACAUAAGUUUAAUUUUUCCACUGUUUGAGAAUUUCUAUUCUGGUCUUUUAAUUGAAGCUAGUUAAACAUGCUUGCAAACAUUCUCUUUACAUUUUUUAAAAAUGGAUUUGCUCUUUUAACAAAAGGAAAUGUCCUUUUUAUAUAGUUUUCCUGUUGAAUUAAAAUCUCUACUAUAUCUGUUAUUAAAUUGCUACAUUAACUUUCUUUUUUGAAGUGUGGGCAUGGUCUAUAUUUUUUAAUGAAGUUACUUCCUGGAGAUUUAUAUUUAAGGAGAGUUUCUUCUGAACUGAAUAUAGUGCAUUUUCUUCAUUUUAUUUUAGAAUAAAUAUAGAUAUUUAAUUGGAUUUUUGUGUGUUUAUAUACAACAUGAUUUCUGAUAUAUUUUUAUUUCAACCUAUGAUCUUAUUAUGUGUUUUCUUUGUCCCAUAAAUUUUUUUUGCUUCAUUUAUAAUUUAUUUUGAAUGAAUUUAUUUUUUGUACAUUCUAUGUAAUUCAUUUUAAUUUCUAUAGCACUUUCUUGUAUGUUAAGUAGCUAUUUUUGGGGUUUUUUUUGAAUCAUUAAAAAGGAGGUGAAAACAUGGCAGUAUAAUUUUCCUUUAAAAAGUUAUAUGCAAUCUGAAGUUACCUCAGAGGCUAAUUAGAAGGCAUUUUUCUUUCAUUUUUUCUGUUUUUCUCCUCCUUCUCCUUCUUCUUCUUUUUUUUUUAUAGAAGGAACUCUACCUAUGUUAACCAACAAGUUGUAGGUUAAAAAUAAAUUCAUUCAAAAUAAAUUAGAUACCACUGUUACACUGAGCUAUGAAAUAAUUAAAGCAUAUUUUACUGAAGAUUUUAAAAUACCCAAAUAUAGAAAAUUAUUCAAUGUCUGAUCAUUUGAAAAGAUAUUGUAAACAAAACAUUUACCCUUCUUGGGAGAAAAAUUAAACAGAAAUAUCUAAAGAAUCUGCUUUUCCAUCUGCAGUUAUUUACCUUAAUUAUACCUUCAUUAUCUCAUUACAGCUGGCUUUUUUCCCC
rnacentral:lncRNA from 1 species